ACACGAGUGCAGUUCAUUUCUAGAACGAAAUAAAAUUUAGCCAAGUGAAUUUUCUUUUAACCUUCUAUUAAAUUUUUGUGUAAGUUAAGAAUGGCAAGGCUGCGAUCGGUUUUGAAUUUUGGCUACAUCUACUUUAAAUAUAGGCAAAAAUGUCUGUCCAUGCAUUGUGGAUGAUUGUUCGUAACUAAGCUUUCUUGAAGAAGAAGCAUAUUAACAAGACUUACUCCUUCAGACACGAUGGUUUUGUCUACAAGACGACUGUUGGUUGGUUGUUCAAAUGAGUCUUCACAGUUACUUACGAGAAAUCAAAAUGCUAGCAUCGUCCAGCAAAGACGACCUUUUAGCAUACAAUGAAGGCAGGUUCAAGGCCUGCUCUUCGUUUAUUCUUGAUAUUCUCAACGCUAAUGGGUACCGCAGUAUCUUAAUUAAAGUUGCUUUGAGAAGACCUAGUGCUGCUUUGAAGACACAAAAAACCAAUGCCUGAAAAGAAUGCAUUUGCAAAAUUCAAACAAAUUGUAUAUUUGCAAAUAAAUUCAUAAAAAUCCUGUGGUUUUGUCCACAAGAAGACUGUUGAUAUUGUUGCAGUAGACAACAGAAGCUUCAUAGUUGCUCACAAGAAACCAAAAUGCUAGUAUCGACCAGCAAAGGAAACCUGUACAAUAUGAACAAUGGAAGCAGGUCCAAAAUGCUAUUUUCAACUUCAGCAUCCUAAUUAAAGUUGCUUUGAGAAGCACUACUAGUGCUGUUUUAAGGUCUCAAAAUCCUAUGCCUGAAAAGAAAGCAUUCAAGAAAUUUGAAUAAGUUGUAAAUUUGCAAAUAAAUUCACAAAAAUACUUCAAAAAUUUUCAUGAAAAUGGCAAGUGUCUGAUGAAAUUGAAAACUUUUGUGUCUGUUGACUUUUGUUCAGUUGAUAUAUGC